rfam:Oxytricha trifallax strain JRB310 Contig9792.0 macronuclear, whole genome shotgun sequence.
GUCAGUUUGUCCGAGUGGUUAAGGAGUGAGACUUGAAAUCUCAUGGGGUUUCCCCGCGCAGGUUCAAACCCUGCAGCUGACG